UACAGAGACUGCAAGCGUUAUUCGGAUUCACUGGGCGUAAAGGGUGCGCAGGCGGCCGUGUGUGUGAGGCGUGAAAGCCUGGAGCUUAACUCCAGAAUUGCACCUCAAACUACACGGCUAGAGCAUUGGAGAGGGUAGCGGAAUUCACGGUGUAGCAGUGAAGUGCGUAGAUAUCGUGAGGAACACCAGAGGCGAAGGCGGCUACCUGGACAAUUGCUGACGCUCAGGCACGAAAGCGUGGGGAGCAAAAGGG
rnacentral:rRNA from 1 species